rnacentral:rRNA from 1 species
ACAAGGGGAGGGGGUGAUGAAAGAAAAGCACGGGAAAUAUCACCAGGCCCGGACAUUGCAAGGAUCGACAGAUUGAUAACUCUUUCUCGAUUCGAUGGGUGGUGGAGCAUGGCCGAUAUUAGUGGGUGGAGMGAUUUGUCCGGUUAAUUACGAUAAUGAACGAGACUCUGUCUAGCUAAAUAGAGUUAACGCCAUUUUUUUGCGUUUACUUUUCUUCUUAGAGGGACUGGUGGCGUCUAGCCACACGAGAUUGAGCAAAAAAAGGUCUAUACAUGUGCUACACAGAAGGGAUCAGCGUGGUUUCCCUGACCGAGAGGUUUGGGUAACCCAUUGAAACCCCUUCGUGGCAGGGGUUUCGGCUUGCAAUUGUUCCCCGUGUACCAAGAAUUCCCAGUAAGAGUAAAUUGUAAGCUUACGUUGAUUACGUCCC